ACCACAAACAUUAACUCUGCUCAACAUGCUGUCUUUAAUAACCUCUGGAUUUACUCUGCUGGUUCUGCUCAUCAGAACAGGUGUAAACUGUCAACAUCUCACUGCAGCGCAGACUGAGAUGUUCAGCCUAGAAGGCAGCUCUGUUACUCUGUCCUAUGGUUACUCCAACAAUAUAGCUGCUAGUGAUCAUUUCUUCUGGUACCGACAAUAUUCAGGAGAACCUCCGGAGUUCAUCCUGUACAUCUCAGGGCUCAACAGAUCAAGAUCAGCAGAAUCUCUGAAAUCAGCAACUAGGUUCUCCACUAAACUGACAGGAGAGAAACAUUUGGACCUGGAGAUCUCCUCUGCUGCAGUGACAGAUUCUGCUGUGUACUACUGUGCUGUGGAGCCCACAGUGACAGGAAACACCAGAACUCUGUACAAGAACCUGCAGUACUCCACAUCAUCCACUAGAGGGCCUCACACACUGUUAAACCACUGAUUGUUGAGUCUUUGGACUGAUGACAAAGACAACAGAGACAUGAAGCAGUAAAGAUCAGAGACAGAGCUGCUGUGGAAGCUGAAAACUCUGUGAUUGGUUGAGUUGAAGUGGCCCCGCCCACUGAACUUCAGCUCCUCCAAUGACAUUAUUUCUUCCUCCUUCUACUGCAGUGGAAGAACAUUGUUCAUCUGCUGUGUGUGGCUUUAAGAGCUCCAGAGACAUGUUGCUUUUCCUCUCAUGGAAUCAGGUCCAUUUCUAAACUUCCACAAAAGUGUAUUUGGAAACAAAUAGACGCCACAUCCUUCCUGCAGUUCUAAACAUUGCAAAAGAAACGAUAUUUAAGAACUGGAAGAAUAAACAAUGUUUUACGAUUUGGGGGUGUUUGAAUUUUGGUUUUGGGUUUUUCUCUUAUCUUUUGUUCUCACAGUUGAGCUUUGGAUCCUGUUUCUGU